AUCCUACUUCCUCCGUUCGGAAUUACUCGUCCAAGAAAUGAAUGUAUCUAGAUGUAUUUUAGUUGUAGAUACAUCCAUUUUUGUGACAAGUAAUUCCGAACGGAGGGAGUACGUC
rnacentral:pre_miRNA from 1 species